AUCUUCAAAUUGCAGCUAUGGAAUUUGAUUUUAUUUUGAGUCUGCAUCUACAGUGUGGAAACCCCUUGCCCAGCCCCCAGGUCAUGUCUGUCACUUUGGUAUCUCACAUGAACUACCAAUGUGCUUAAGUGUAUGUGUAUAAAUAUAGGACUGGCUCCUGAAGUUUCAUUUCUGAACGGCUGUUCAGAAAACAGACAAAGAAAAAAUUAAAAAAAACUGUUUCCCCUCCCCAGGAUUAUUCUGUUCAGUUUGACAUUAUCCUGCCAGGUAUUAUAUUGUUGUAAGAUCAGUUUUUCUUUUUCUUCCCUCUAUGCAUAAUUCAAAGGCAAUCCUAUAUGCUUCAAGUUUGACAUAUAUGGUCUGUGAAUGUUAUCUUUUAUUUCUUUAAUUGCCAAAGGUACCUCAACAAAAUGCUUUGGUUCACCACAUCCUGUCAGGGUUGAUGCUUUCACACUCACUAGUAUCUAGUCUAAUCCUUUUUCCUCUCUGUAAUGUGGAGAAGAAAGAGCUACCUGGGCUCACAGCAUUUCCUGUUGAGGUUGGACGCAUUACACAGACUGUUGUAUUCAUCGGGGGAAAUGGCUCAGUGCAAAGACAUUUCACCCUUAGAUGGAUGGCCAGGGAAAAGGUGGAUGCUGUGAUUCAUUUUCGUUGUGAGAGUGCCUGGCAGCCUGGUCUUGGCUGCCUGCUUUUCCCUGGAACGCUAACAGGGAUCUCUUAUUCUCUCUGCUGCUAUUUCUUAUCGAGCUCAUAGGAGUUCAGUUAUUUUUGAGACUUAUCCCUCUGAGACUCUGUUGAAUUUAGUUGAAGUUGGCCAGUAGCUUCAAGAAGUACUUAGGAAGAGAGGCAGAGUGUGAGUGAAUAAAUCUUUUCCCCUUAGGACAUGGGAUAAAAAUUCUGGCCUCUCUCUACCCAUCUUUCCCCCUCCCUCCCUUACAGCAGCUCUUGGUAGUCAGUCAGAGAUUAAAGAAUUCAUGCCCACUAAUAGAAAUCAUCUGUGCGGAUCGACUGUUUUUCAGGCAGACGCUGUCCCUGUGGAUGCAGUACUCUGAACCUUGAUCAAAUGGGCCAAAACUAAGCUGAUCCCUCUAUUCAUUAAUGGCCUCCUUGAAGUUGGCAGGAUGCCCUGAAGACCUUGACUUCAGCGUGUAUUUUCAGGACUGAGAGAGCUUGAAAAAGAAAUGGAGUUUCUCUCCCCUGGAGGCUUGACUGCUGUGAGAGGUUCCUCCAGCUGGACUGAGUGAACCGCUUUGAACUCAGUUCAUCACAGGGAAGGUGCUACCCCUAUAUGUAUAGCUCCUGAAUGCUCAGUUAUAAUUAUUAUUUUCUUUAAGGAAGUCAUGAUUAAUAGUUCUUAGGUGUGGAUGACUGCCAAUGGCACCUUCUAUGGGAUGAUUUCUCUGCCCAUGAAGACGAAAGCGUGGGCCUUCAGCAGCAAUGCAGGACCUUCCUCUAAAAAUUUUGCCUCAAAGGAAUGGCAGCUUGUGGCCCAUGGCUAUGAAGGCUGUUACGAAGAUCAUCAUGAGGACAGUACAUGGAGUAAAUGCUGAGUUCAGAGUAGGUAAUGCUCCAUGGAGGUGAGCAGCUGCUGGGAGACACACUCAUGAGGGAUGGGAAAGCCUUUGGAGCCAGCAGAGCCCAGCACCAUCUCCAAGGAGUAGGGUCCAGCCGCAAUCCCUGUUGGAUAAAUCUCUCCAAACUGAGCUGCUCUGGGUACAUGUCCAGCUGGAAGCUUGUAUGAUAUGGUAUGGUGAGUGAUACUGUAACAGAGAGGCUGACAGAGUUGUGUCAGCUCUUGCAUAAAUAUGCAUGACCUUUCUCUCUGUCCUACCCCACUGGAUUUUCUAGUACAACUAAUUGCAAUGGCAAGAUCCAGUCCUUUAGCUGCCAGGAUGCUGCAAUGCACUGAAGUACAGGGAGGAUGGAGGAGUCCAUGGCUGUGUGCUUUGCUGCUACGCUCCCCCAGGCAAAAACACUGAUGUGCUCCAGGAGCAGCUUGGUCCCCACCUGGCCAGGGAGCAGGGCAGGGCUCUGCAGCAAGUUUGUUGCUGCUGGCUGGAAAUGGCCCUGCUCAGUGUGAAGGUCAGUGAUAUAUUCUCCUGCGGCUUGGUAUCAGUCAAGUCACAGCCUCACCGGUGUCAGAUCUGCAAUGAAAGAUAUUCUCCUUUGCCUUCUCCUCCUUCUCCCUGGGUUUAAUUCUUUGAAAACUGUAGCUGGUUUUCAGAUGGUGGCAGUUAAAAGAGAUAACAAUGUGCCUGUCAUGGAAACUAGCUGUCUUGAAUGAGCUCACAAGAAAAUUGAAUCUAACCUGUCUGUCUGAGCAGUAUUUAUAAAAUACUCUACUGUCCAUGGAUUAGGCUGCCCAGCCCAGCUGCAUUGAUGUAGUCAAUGAAAGCAGCUGUUCAUAUUUUGAACUUUCUGAUGUAAUGGGAUUUUACUGGCCUUAUAAAAAGUCACAGGGUCACACCACUACUGGUUUUUGUUUGUUUGUUUGUUUGUUUGUUUUGGCAAAGCCGCUAGAGGAGCAAGUGGUACUUCAAAAUGCUGCUGCCUCCAUUUAUUUAAACGUUUUAGGAUGUUGUUUGUGUCUGCCCCCCAUCCCAAACCUCAGGAAAUAUUGAGAUUUCUCUUUUGAGCUUCAAAGGAAAUUGGGAUUAAUUUUAUGGACCAGAGCCUUGCCAGAUGUAAAUCCCUAUAGCUGCACCAGUGUCAGGGAGGCUAAGCUGAUUUACACCAGCUGAUGAGCUUUAACUGGAAGGGGAAGUCACCACUUCACAGCCGCUCACAUGUCAGAGCAGGGACUGGAGCCCUGCUCCAAGCGCCCUGCAAAUACUGGCCUCCAACGUGUGUGGCAAGCCAAGUGAGACACUGAAGUGCCUGCUAGCAUGGUGGGAGUUAAGCAGUCCCACUGGUUUCCCUGGAUCUGCUUUACAGUUCUUGAAAGUAGGAGAGUGAAAACUCCAUGUGCUUAACAGGACCCAUGCAGAAAUCCCUGGGGUUGCUCCUCAUGGGAAUAAAACAAAGCAUGCACAAAGCUGUGCAUAAGACUGGGACUUUAAAUCAGGCUGGCCAAAAUAUGGCUGUAGUAAUGCUCAGGGUCAUGAGCAGUUCAAAUGAGGUGCCCCUGGGCUAUGGGAUUCAGGUGAUCUAUUUAGGCACAGGGGUUGGAGGAUGAUGGGAGGCAGCUGGAGGAUGAGGGUUUGCCUCAGACCUAGCUUUAUGCCAAGCCCAGGGGGUGAUUGCUGAGGGUGCCUCUUGGGACUCUCUUCAUCCAUGGCUGCAGGUGUUCCUCAUUGCAUCCUGGGCUCCUGAGGUACAUUCCUUGGGCUCUUGCUGUGUGGAGAUUUUGAUAUGUGGCUUUUAUUGUGAGUCAGAGAGGCAUUAAAAGUACUUUUGUUUGCUGGAGGCCAUCUGGGCUUGGGGAUGGUCCUGCUAUCUUGCUGCAGGACAGAGGGCCUCCUGUGCCCAGCUGACCAUUAGAGGACAAUUAUUCCUCUCAGCAGUAGCAGAGCAGCUAAGUGGAGGUCCAUGCUGCUACUUGCAUGCUAAACUGGGAAUAUUUUUUUCAGCUUAUGUUUAUUGGAAAAGCAUGCUAAUCCUCUGAUUCCACCCUGGGAGGAAUGGAAAUCGUUGUUGUUUCAUGUUACUGAAGAGUCAGCUUCAUCACUAGAUGAGCUUGAAGGAUAAAAGGGUGUUCACUUAGGAAUGUAGACUUAUGAUACUUCAAUAAAGUUAAUAGAAGAUAAGAGAAAAUGACUAUUAAGAUUGUAGUUUAUUUUUUUGGUUACUCCUUCAACACAGCUAGUUUUUGAGGGCAGUUCCCCCUAGAGGUGGCAUAUUCUGAAGUGUUUUCUGCUGCCUCUUCCUUUGCUCUUACAGUUGGCUGCUGGAGAAACUGCUCCGGUCGCCCUGUUUUUUCUGUCCUCUGUGUGGGAUAACUUUGUUUUCUUCCUGUUUGAUUGCCCUGUGGUGCCUUUGACUUAUCCCUGGGACCUUAUAUGGCUGUGUAAGGGCUUGUAUCACUUCUGUCUCCCCUCCCCUUUCAGGUUACUGGAUUUACAUUUCUACUGUAUAACUUAAUUACCUCAUUUCUGGCUUCAGGUGGCAUCCUUUUGCUUAUGCAAAUGUUGUGGUAUGACU